AUAAGGAAUUCUAGCCUCGGUAUUUCCUCCGAAUAGUUUUGAUAAUCACUAUUCUUAACGGAAGAUCGAUUCCUCAUUCUCGUCCAGGAUGUCGGAGCCAGAACCACCAUUUAGGCCGAGAGAGAAACUCAUCGAAAAGCAGAAGUUUUUUCAAAGUGUUCAUAAGCAUACAUAUUUAAAAGGACCCUACGAUAAGAUCACUUCAGUUGCUAUUCCUGCAGCUCUUGCCGGUGCAGCUCUGUUUAUGAUUGGAAGAGGGAUCUAUAACAUGUCGAAUGGAAUUGGGAAAAAGGAAUAAUGAAAUUUAUGCUAUGUUGGACUCCUCAUUCGAAGGCCGAGCUAUUAAACAAAAUGGUAAUGUGAUUUCUUGUUUUAGAUUAUCUUCGAUUUCGGAGGCUGGUAAUAUAUGUUGAUGUGGUUUCUCUUUGGUGAAUGACAAUGCUAUCUUGUAUGAUUUUGUUGUGAUUUUAGAACUUGAUAAAUACUUGGCCUGAGUCUUUUUUUUAAA